rnacentral:rRNA from 1 species
GACGAACGCUGGCGGCGUGCCUAAUACAUGCAAGUCGAGCGAGACUCUUCGGAGUCUAGCGGCGGACGGGUGAGUAACACGUGGGCAACCUGCCUGUAAGACUGGGAUGACACCGGGAAACCGGUGCUAAUACCGGAUAAUCCUUUUCCUCUCAUGAGGGAAAGCUGAAAGUCGGUUUCGGCUGACACUUACAGAUGGGCCCGCGGCGCAUUAGCUAGUUGGUGAGGUAACGGCUCACCAAGGCGACGAUGCGUAGCCGACCUGAGAGGGUGAUCGGCCACACUGGGACUGAGACACGGCCCAGACUCCUACGGGAGGCAGCAGUAGGGAAUCUUCCACAAUGGACGAAAGUCUGAUGGAGCAACGCCGCGUGAGCGAUGAAGGCCUUCGGAUCGUAAAGCUCUGUUGUUAGGGAAGAACAAGUACCGGAGUAACUGCCGGUACCUUGACGGUACCUAACCAGAAAGCCACGGCUAACUACGUGCCAGCCGCCGCGGUAAUAC